AUUUUUCUAAUAUAAAUAGUAUAAUUGACUUCCAAUCAAUAAGUCUGGUAACUCCAGGAAGAAUA
rnacentral:tRNA from 1 species